rnacentral:tRNA from 1 species
AGUCAGGUGACCGAGCGGCUUAAGGUACCGGUUUUGAAAACCGAGAUUCUUUUUCUAAGACGGGGGUUCAAAUCCCCCCCUGAUUG